GGUAACCUGCCUCAUACAGGGGGAUAACAGUUAGAAAUGACUGCUAAUACCGCAUAAGCGCACAGGGCUGCAUGGCCCGGUGUGAAAAACUCCGGUGGUAUGAGAUGGACCCGCGUCUGAUUAGCUGGUUGGAGGGGUAACGGCCCACCAAGGCGACGAUCAGUAGCCGGCCUGAGAGGGUGAACGGCCACAUUGGCGCUGAGACACGGCCCAGACUCCUACGGGAGGCAGCAGUGGGGAAUAUUGCACAAUGGGGGAAACCCUGAUGCAGCGACGCCGCGUGAAGGAAGAAGUAUCUCGGUAUGUAAACUUCUAUCAGCAGGGAAGAAAAUGACGGUACCUGACUAAGAAGCCCCGGCUAACUACGUGCCAGCAGCCGCGGUAAUACGUAGGGGGCAAGCGUUAUCCGGAUUUACUGGGUGUAAAGGGAGCGUAGACGGAAGAGCAAGUCUGAUGUGAAAGGCUGGGGCUUAACCCCAGGACUGCAUUGGAAACUGUUUUUCUAGAGUGCCGGAGAGGUAAGCGGAAUUCCUAGUGUAGCGGUGAAAUGCGUAGAUAUUAGGAGGAACACCAGUGGCGAAGGCGGCUUACUGGACGGUAACUGACGUUGAGGCUCGAAAGCGUGGGGAGCAAACAGGAUUAGAUACCCUGGUAGUCCACGCCGUAAAC
rnacentral:rRNA from 1 species